rfam:Stegodyphus mimosarum contig61338, whole genome shotgun sequence.
AAAAAGGCCCUUUUCAGGGCCAGAAAAUGAUUGAGUUUAGCUAUU